UACGCAGGGGGCUAGCGUUGCUCGGAAUUACUGGGCGUAAAGCGCACGUAGGCGGUCUUUUAAGUCGGGGGUGAAAUCCUGGAGCUCAACUCCAGAACUGCCUUCGAUACUGGAAGACUUGAGUCCGGGAGAGGUGAGUGGAACUGCGAGUGUAGAGGUGAAAUUCGUAGAGAUCGGGAGGAACACCAGUGGCGAAGGCGGCUACCUGGCUGACAACUGACGCUGAGGCGCGAAAGCUAGGGGAGCAAACAGG
rnacentral:rRNA from 1 species